GAUGAAGAACGUAGCGAAAUGCGAUAAGUAGUGUGAAUUGCAGAAUUCAGUGAAUCAUCGAAUCUUUGAACGCACAUUGCGCCCCUCGGUAUUCCGUGGGGCAUGCCUGUUCGAGCGUCAUUUACCCCUCAAGCACUGCUUGGUGUUGGGCGUCUGUCCCGCUUCGCGCGCGGACUCGCCCCAAAGGUAUUGGCAGCGGUCGUGCCAGCUUCUCGCGCAGCACAUUGCGCUUCUCGAGGCGGUCGAUCGGCGUCCACGAAGCUCACCUCCACCGUUUGACCUCGGAUCAGGUAGGGAUACCCGCUGAACUUAAGCAUAUCAAUCGGAGGA
rnacentral:misc_RNA from 1 species